UCUCAUCGAAGAUUACGUCACGAGAGC
rnacentral:sRNA from 1 species